ncrna:unclassified sequences TwoGGAY RNA
UGUCGGAGCGUGUUGAUAUUUUCUUAAGCAGUGGUGAGUCAUCAGGGUGGAGCAAACACGAUGUUUGCGACAGGCGGCCGGCGACAUGGAUGUCGCCUAGAGCCGUGCCCGUUCGAAUGAGAUACACUUUAUCCACUGCUUUAGAAAAUUCACACUCGGAGACC